UGCUGUUGUAAGCCAAGUGAUGUUAUUGCUGAGGGAAAAAGGUGUGCAGUUAAUCCGUGAUAUACCAGAGGAAAUUAAGACAUUAACAGUACAUGGUGAUCAAGUGAGAAUUCAACAGGUCUUGGCAGAUUUCUUGUUGAACAUGGUGCGGUAUGCACCAUCACCUGAUGGGUGGGUAGAGAUCCAACUUCGACCAAGUAUGAUGCCAAUA
rnacentral:misc_RNA from 1 species